rnacentral:lncRNA from 1 species
CUGCUGCCCACCUCCUGCUGUGCAGCCCAGUUCCUAACAGUCUAUGGACCAGUUACCUGUCCGUGGCCUGAGGGUUGAGGACCUCUGACUUAGAGCACUGCCAACAAACUAGUUGUGCCUAUACCUCCAUGCCUUAACUUGUGCUAUUUCUGCAACACCUUUCCCUCCCUAUUCCCUACCAGGCUCUCCCUACUGGUAGACAUGUCGCUGGCAUAACCCUGCAUCCACUAUCAUAGAGAUGAUGUUCUGUGGAUGCUGCCUUGCCACAGAUGUGGGACUUCUGGAUGCGCACAUGACCCAGGCUCAGUGUAAUCGCAAGGGUCCUUGAAAAUAGAAGAGGGAGGCAAAAGAGGCAGAACCAAAAAGAUGGAGCAUGAGGACUCAGCCUAACAUUGCAGGCUUUGCACAUGGAGAAAUGGGACACUAGCCAAGACAUG